GACAGCAGUAACACCUUCUGGCUAUAGUCUAUUUUCAUCUUUCUCAUCCUAGUGUUAUCAAGAGAAAAACAGUCUUAGAUGCAACAUAAAAAUUUCAGAGACAGAAGAAAUCUUCCUUUGAGGGCAGGACUGAAAUGCUGUUUUUUUUCCCUGGUACAAUAUUAAAGCUUUAAACUCUUGUCAAUGAUGUGAUGUUUCAUCUGCAAUGAUCUACACUAGAAAAAUAAAAAUGUAGUUACUGACAAAAAAGCAGGAACUACUGCUCUAAGGAAAAAAGGAGAGCUACAUGAGGACCACACAACUCCUGGAAGAGGUUUCCCUGGCAACACAACUUUUCCAUUCAUCUGGUUGCAGUGUUUUCAUCCAGUAGCCUGUCACCUCACUCAAAAGCAGGGCAGAUUUAUAAAGGAAGCUGCUGGAGGGAAUUCAUUCCCUUUUUGCUGUUCUGCCUUCCACCUUUCACUGUGUGAGGACACUGCAAGAAAGCCUUCAUCAGACACCAAUUGCCAGCACCUAGAUCUUGGAAUUCUCAGCCUCCAGAACUGGUCUUGCUCUUUUGCCCAGGCUGGGGUGCAGUGGUGCCAUUACGACUCAAUGCGGUAUCCAAAUCCUGGGCUUAGGCAAUCCUCCUGCCUCAAUCUCCUGAGCGGCUGGGACCAAAGAUAGCACAGGAAUAUCCAGUGGCUGGAGGAAAAAUGGCUGAAAAAACGUUUUUUUCCCUUUGAAUGGAUGGUUUUCACCAAUUUUGAGCAGAUUCUAAGGAAGAGAGAAAC